rnacentral:rRNA from 1 species
AUUGAACGCUGGCGGCAGGCCUAACACAUGCAAGUCGAGCGGAUGAAGGGAGCUUGCUCCUGGAUUCAGCGGCGGACGGGUGAGUAAUGCCUAGGAAUCUGCCUGGUAGUGGGGGAUAACGUCCGGAAACGGGCGCUAUUACCGCUUCCGUCCUGAGGGAGAAAGGGGGGGAUCUUCGGACCUCACGCUAUCAGAUGAGCCUAGGUCGGAUUAGCUAGUUGGUGGGGUAAAGGCCUACCAAGGCGACGAUCCGUAACUGGUCUGAGAGGAUGAUCAGUCACACUGGAACUGAGACACGGUCCAGACUCCUACGGGAGGCAGCAGUGGGGAAUAUUGGACAAUGGGCGAAAGCCUGAUCCAGCCAUGCCGCGUGUGUGAAGAAGGUCUUCGGAUUGUAAAGCACUUUAAGUUGGGAGGAAGGGCAGUAAGUUAAUACCUUGCUGUUUUGACGUUACCAACAGAAUAAGCACCGGCUAACUUCGUG